rnacentral:lncRNA from 1 species
CAGCCCUCUCUGGCGCGGCCCAGCCUCCCCUCCCUGUGGCCAUGACUUACGCUUUCCUUGGACUCUCGAGGGUGGCAUUAGGGAGAAGGCUCACAGAACAAAAUCGACUUAACAGGUAUAAUAGGUUGGAUGAGGCACAGUUCCUCUCUGUCCAAUCUUGCCGCCCACGUGGUGGU